CUACGUGCCAGCAGCCGCGGUAAUACGGAAGGUCCGGGCGUUAUCCGGAUUUAUUGGGUUUAAAGGGAGCGUAGGCCGGAGAUUAAGUGUGUUGUGAAAUGUAGACGCUCAACGUCUGACUUGCAGCGCAUACUGGUUUCCUUGAGUACGCACAACGUUGGCGGAAUUCGUCGUGUAGCGGUGAAAUGCUUAGAUAUGACGAAGAACUCCGAUUGCGAAGGCAGCUGACGGGAGCGCAACUGACGCUUAAGCUCGAAGGUGCGGGUAUCGAACAGGAUUAGAUACCCUGGUAGUCCGCACAGUAAACGAUGGAUGCCCGCUGUUGGUACCUGGUAUCAGCGGCUAAGCGAGAGCAUUAAGCAUCCCACCUGGGGAGUACGCCGGCAACGGUGAAACUCAAAGGAAUUGACGGGGGCCCGCACAAGCGGAGGAACAUGUGGUUU
rnacentral:rRNA from 1 species